rnacentral:lncRNA from 1 species
GAGGCGUUGAUGAUUAGGCCUGCAGAGUCUCAGAGCAGGGUUCCAGUAUUUAAAGUUCCAAUUCUACACUAAGAAUGGUAUGCGACAGAAAUGCAGGGUUCUGAGCUUCUGUUUUCUCCAAUCAGUUGGAAGUUCUGCAUGUAGAUUAUUUCCUGAGGGGCUGAUUUAUCAAGUCAGUGGCAGGACAACCUGAUCAAAACUUAUGGCUGACACCCUAAAGAUAGCUUCACAUGGUAGCAAAAAUGAGCAAAACAGACUUGAGUUCUAAUUCCUCCUCCACUUUGGCCCAGUUGUUUCCACUUUCUGAGCCACUUAACUCAACUGUAAAUGUAGAAUGGCAAUCCAAACUUUAUUCUUGUGGAGUUUGAAUGAGCAUAUCUCAUUUUGGACUAGCCAUCUUUCAAGAGCUCAACAGCCACGUGCUAUUAAUGGCUACCACAUUAAAGGCUCCAAGUCUAGAUGGAAAAUAAACAAGUAAACCUAUAAACACAGUUAAUAGAGAAAAGAACUUCCAUGAAAAGGCGCACUCCAAUCCUGCCAUUUCUCAGAAAAAAACUAUCUUUGAAAUAAGAGACUAAAGAGCAGUCUCGAAUCAGAGUCCUCCCUUAUGUCAUAAAACUAGCACCUCAGCCCUGACAAAGACGGAAAUCAUUUUGUGCACAGAAUUUAUCCUCUGAGCCACUUUCUCCAGGAAGAGCUCCUGGAGUUAUGUAUCCUCCCUUCACAGUAAUUCCUCCUUUCCUCACAUCCCUCAUCAUUGCCUACUCUGUCACUAUCAGCCCACUCUGGGUAUGCUGAGUAGAAGAUGACCGAUUGCUUUCAGUUUGCUUCAUUUUUGUUUUUGUGUCUUACAAGUUAACGUAGAAGUCAGGGCCUGACUGCUGUUACAUAUUUGAUAGACUGCAGGCUUCUUGGAGGAGGGAAUUUGUAUUAUUUCUACCCACAUUUUUCAGCG